AUUGAACGCUGGCGGCAGGCCUAACACAUGCAAGUCGAACGGUAACAGGAAGAUUCUUGCUUCUUUGCUGACGAGUGGCGGACGGGUGAGUCAUGUCUGGGAAACUGCCUGAUGGAGGGGGAUAACUACUGGAAACGGUAGCUAAUACCGCAUAACGUCGCAAGACCAAAGAGGGGGACCUUCGGGCCUCUUGCCAUCGGAUGUGCCCAGAUGGGAUUAGCUAGUAGGUGGGGUAACGGCUCACCUAGGCGACGAUCCCUAGCUGGUCUGAGAGGAUGAACAGCCACACUGGAACUGAGACACGGUCCAGACUCCUACGGGAGGCAGCAGUGGGGAAUAUUGCACAAUGGGCGCAAGCCUGAUGCAGCCAUGCCGCGUGUAUGAAGAAGGCCUUCGGGUUGUAAAGUACUUUCAGCGGGGAGGAAGGGAGUAAAGUUAAUACCUGUGCUCAUUGACGUUACCCGCAGAAGAAGCACCGGCUAACUCCGUG
rnacentral:rRNA from 1 species